UUUCUCUGCUUAAAAUGGAAUGGCAAAAAAGCUUGGGUAAAGUAUUUCUUUGAUGGCUUUCAAGUCGAUACAUCUGUCAAUGAUUCCGCAUUGCAAAUAACCUUACCAGAAAAGAAAAAUUUCCUUGUUCCUCUUUCAAGUAACGGUAAAAGGUUUUCACAACUAAAUAUCUGGGAUCACGAGAUUUCGAGCAGCAAUAUUCAAGUCAUGGUAUCAGGGGGGCUCAAUAUUCAUGGCAACGUGCUGGCUUGGAGCAAGCUUUUACCAUACGUCUCCCCUGGAGAUAUAAAGUCAAUUGUUACUAUUUAUUUACCAGGUUACACAGUUUUAAUGAAGCGGACAAAUUGGUGCAGAGAUAAUCUCUCUGGGUCAUCCUGUCCUGGUGAAGAAGUUGCUAGAGUGGGUGGCAUGAUCUCAAGGGAAUCGAUAUUUUGGCGAUGUUAUUGCCCAAAAUGUUUGACUGCUUCAAAAAACACGUUCGAUUUUGACACAACUCACACAAGCAAAACUUGUUAUGUUUCUAACGUACAUAAUCAGCUCAUCCACAUCGACUGACAUUCACUUUGGCACAAGACACUGAGGCAGUAACUUAUGAUACAGGCUCUCUUCUUUAUCACCUUAUUUUGAGUAGAAAUGAAUGACUGAUUUUGGUCACUACAUUGCUAAAUGUUGUUGAUCGGUCUUAAACCAAUAGUCAGGAUAAUUUGUAGUUCUACACUCCAGUACUUACGUUCCAGUGAUGUUUUGAUAUUUAGGUAAAAGCUUGAGUUCUGUGUUGUUCUGGAAAGUGAAGUGGAGUACGAAUGGGAAAGCGAUCAAAAGCCAACAGACGGCUUACUCAUUUCAUUUCCAAUAGAUGAAGUAUAAACGUAAUACCUAUAAUAUAUAUCCUACAUAUAUCGAAUAAAAAUUGCAUAUUUCACAUUUCAAA